rnacentral:lncRNA from 1 species
UGGUCAUUUAUGAACAUUUUAACAUCUUGGCCAUGUUCUGUUAUAAUCUCCACCCGGCACAGCCAGAAGAGGACUGGCCACUCGCUCAUAGCCUGGUUCCUCUCUAGGUUUCUUCCUAGGUUCUGGCCUUUCUAGGGAGUUUUUUCCUAGCCACCGUGCUUCUACACCUGCAUUGCUUGCUGUUUAGGUUUUUUUUUAGGCUGGGUUUCUGUACAGCACUUUGAGAUAUCAGCUGAUGUAAAAAGGGCUAUAUAAAUACAUUUGAUUUGAUUUCCAACAACUCAGUUAGUCAAAUGUCUGCCCUGCUAGAGCUGCCCCAGGUCAACUGUAAGUGCUGUUAAUGUGAAGUGGAAACUUCUAGGAGCAACAAUGGCUCAGCCAAGAAGUGGUAGGCCACACAAGCUCACAGAACAGGACCGUGUAAAAUUCAUCUGUCCUCGGUUGCAGCACUCACUAGCGAGUUCCAAACUUCCUCUGGAAGCAACUUCAGCACAAGAACUGUUCACCUGGAGUUUCAUGAAAUGGGUUUCCAUGGCCGAGCAGCCGCACACAAGCCUAAGAUCACCAUGUGCAAUGCUGGAGGGGUGUAAAGCUCACCGCCAUUGGACUCUGGAGAUUGAAUCACGUUCUCUGGAGUGAUGAAUCAUGUAGCAGUGAUGAAUCAUCUAGCAGUUUCUGGGUUUGGCAGAUACCAUGAGAGCGCUAUCUGCCCCAAUGCAUAGUGCCAACUGUAAAGUUUGGUGGAGGAGGAAUAAUGCUCUAGGCCCCUUAGUUCCAAUGAAGGGAAAUCUUAAUAACGCUACAGCAAACUAUGACAUUCUAGACGAUUCUGUGCUUCCCACUUUGUGGGAACAGGUUCGAAAAGGCCCUUUCCUGUUUCAGCAUGACAAUGCCCCCUUGCACAAAUCCUGGUCUAUAUGUGACCUUCCUGGUCCCGUCCCUCAAGUCAGUGAGUCAACACAGGAAGGAGCAAAGGAUGGAUUUUUUUAUUUUUAAAUUGAACCGUUAUUUAACUAGUUCAUUUAUUUCCAAAGCUGCAAUGAUGAGACAAACAGCAUGGAUGAAUGAUCAUUAGUCAGCGUGAUAUAAAUAGCACUCCCACAGCAAUUCUCCAUAAAUCUGCAGUAUGAUAUACUAACAAAAGAAAAAAUAUCGAAAUGUCUAUCAAGAUCAUUGUGAUCGUAUAGUGGAUUUAACAAUUUCUAAUAAUUCCUAAUUUACUAUAAUAAAAAUAAACAGUUUCCAUGUGUAAUCUCAUAUUCACAACAUCAGUAUAAACCAUCAUCCAUUUUGGUAUUAAAGAUAGAUAAAAUUAACCUGGGAAAAAAUGACUCAAUGUCGCCCUCUUGUGGCGAAGAAAUAUAAUACACCUGGAAUGUACAACAAAUACUUAAUUUUAUUUAUUUCACCUUUAUUUAACCAGGUAGGCAAGUUGAGAACAAGUUCUCAUUUACAACUGCGACCUGGCCAAGAUAAAGCAAAGCAGUUCAACAACAUACAACAACAACAGAGUUACACAUGGAAUAAACAAACAUACAGUCAAUAAUACAGUAGAAUUUGUUUUUUUUUAUUCAUUUGUCAUAAAUUACUUGCAAUGAUGGGACACACACAGUAUGGAUGAAUGUUCAUUAGUCGACAGGAUAUAAGGAUAUAAAUAAAUAGAAGAUGCCUUUUUCCAGUUAGCUACCAACUUGAAAGAGGGAACUUUAGCAUAAAACCCACAUGGAAAACUGAGAUUCGGCAAAUAACACAUAAAGACCGGCUUAUUUGACACCAAACCAACAACAGUAGUUACUAAUAACAUAAAUUGCUAAUGUACGAUGUAAAAAGUGUAUUUUAUGAUGUAAUGUCAACUUUAAAUAUUUGUAUCCCGGGAUCAUUUCAUUUUCACCUCACCCACAGUAAUUCUCCAUAAAUCUGCUGUGGAUUACCCAGAAUCCCAUACAUGUAUCACUAAGUGUAUUUAUUAGACAAUGUAAACACACUAUUCUAACAGGAAGUGGCAUAAUACCCAUUUUAUGCAGGAAUUUAACAACUUCAUUACACCUUUAUAAAUACAGAAAUGCUUUGUCGAGAUCGAUGUGGAAGAACUUGACUGGCCUGUACAGAGCCCUGACUUUAACCCCAUCGAACACCUUUGGGAUGAAUUGGAACGCCGACUGCGAGCCAGGGCCUAAUCGCCCAACAUCAGUGCCCGACCUCACUAAUGCUCUUGUGGCUGAAUGGAAGCAAGUCCCCCGCAGCAAUGAUCCAACAUCUAGUGGAAAGCCUUCCCAGAAGAGUGGAGGCUGUUAUAGCAGCAAUGUUCCAACAUCUAGUGGAAAGCCUUCCCAGAAGAGUGGAGGCUGUUAUAGCAGCAAUGUUCCAACAUCUAGUGGAAAGCCUUCCCAGAAGAGUGGAGGCUGUUAUAGCAGCAAUGUUCCAACAUCUAGUGGAAAGCCUUCCCAGAAGAGUGGAGGCUGUUGUAGCAGCAAAGGGGGGGACCAACUCCAUAUUAAUGACUUCCCUGAAGAGUGGAGGCUGUUAUAGCAGCAAAGGGGGGACCAACUCCAUAUUAAUGACUUCCCAGAAGAGUGGAGGCUGUUAUAGCAGCAAAGGGGGGGGGUCCAACUCCAUAUUAAUGACUUCCCUGAAGAGUGGAGACUGUUAUAGCAGCAAAGGGGGGACCAACUCCAUAUUAAUGACUUCCCAGAAGAGUGGAGGUCUGUUAUAGCAGCAAAGGGGGGGGUCCAACUCCAUAUUAAUGACUUCCCUGAAGAGUGGAGGCUGUUAUAGCAGCAAAGGGGGGACCAACUCCAUAUUAAUGACUUCCCAGAAGAGUGGAGGCUGUUAUAGCAGCAAAGGGGGACGAACUCCAUAUUAAUGACUUCCCUGAAGAGUGGAGGCUGUUAUAGCAGCAAAGGGGGGACCAACUCCAUAUUAAUGACUUCCCAGAAGAGUGGAGGUCUGUUAUAGCAGCAAAGGGGGGGACCAACUCCAUAUUGAUUUUGUAAUGUAGUGUUUAAUUCCAGCAUCCUCAAAAUGUCUUGACAUUAUUAACCAGGUUUCCAUCCAACCUUUUUAUGCAAGAAAAGUUGCCUACUUUUCUGAUAAUUGUUGUUUUUUUUAAAAUCCCAUCACAUCAUAGGAAAGCAUGCGGUUUAUUAGGCUACAAAUUAAAUAAACGAUGAUGAAUUUAACAGAAUGGUAAAAAUGCACAGAGAUGAGGUUUAUGCUCCUUUCAAUAAAUAUCAAGGGUCUUAUUCUAG